rnacentral:rRNA from 1 species
GAUGAACGCUGGCGGCGUGCCUAAUACAUGCAAGUCGAGCGAAGCGGGGACGGGUGAGUAACACGUGGAUAACCUCCUAUACGACUGGGAUAACUUCGGGAAAACGGAGCUAAACCGGCUACUUAUAGAUGGUUCCGUGCUGCAUUAGCUAGUUGGUAAGGUAACGGCUUACAAAGGCAACGAUGCAUAGCGGACCUGGGAGGGGUGUCAGCCACACGGGAACGGAGACACGGUCCCGACUCCAACGGUAGGCAGCAGUAGGGAAUCUUCCACAAUGGGCGGAAGCCUGGCGGAGCAAUGCCGCGGGAGUGAUGAAGGUCUUCGGAUCGUAAAACUCUGUUAUUAGGGAAGCGGUACCUAAUCAGAAAGCCACGGCUAACUCCGUGCCAGCAGCCGCGGUAAUUC